rnacentral:misc_RNA from 1 species
GAUUCAGUCCAGCAUGGGAUUCCAUAUCCGGGGUACGACAUGUGUUUUUACUUCUUUGUCAAUUUGUGAACCAUAUUGAGGUGAUCCAUAUGCCUGUUUAUCAUCCUUCUGAACAAGAAAAGGAGGACCCCAGACUCUUUGCCAACAAUGUCCGAAAGUUGAUGGCUAUCGAGGGGAAUUUGACUCUUUCAGAUAUUGGUUUGGCCGAGAAGCGAAUCUACCAUGCUGCGCUGAAUGGUAAUAGUCUAC